AUGCUGAUCCUUUUUUUUAAUGGGUUGAAACAGAGCGCGCUGCAGCAAACAACACUCUGGAUUUAUUCAGCUGCAGGAGCGGCACACAGCAGGUGCCUUGGAGGGACAGAGGGAAGGAGCAGAGGAAAAAUGAAAGAGGCUGAGGAGAGUGAGCAGCCAGGGAGAAACCUCUGGAAGGUUCGGGCAUGCAGUCAGCUGCGUUCAUGCUUUAUGUCACUGCAGAACAUUAAACGAGCACUUGAAAAGAGAAAAGACAGACUGCAAGCAAGCAGGACUAGAGAGGACCCAGGAGCCCCAUGGGACACUCUCAGAUGGUCGCCAUGCAUGAGAAAGGGCAGCUCGAGAAAGUCUGCCUGGGACACGGCAAACACCACUUCACCAUUUCCACCAGGAACAAAGAACCAUGCACAGCGCUGGCUGCUGCUGACGCACGGGCUUCAGCAGGCAGCAGAGAAGUCCCACGGGGCCACAACCCAGGGCAGCCUGCAGCUCUUGAUCUUGCUCCCACUUGUGAGCAACACCAUGAGAAGAUCCCAGCAGCAGCUGUGGGGUGGCCCAGCAGACAGGCAGCACCAGUGCAUAUUGCACCUUGUAGGGAACAGCACUGGGCAGAGUAUGAUGCUGCAUUAAUGCCAACACUAGCAUGGGGGAGCAGGCACUAUCCCUACAGAGACCACGCUUUGGGGCAGCCAAAGAGUUUGCCAGUGCCAGGAGAGUUUUGGACAGUGCACCAUUGCUUCUGCUGAAUUGCCUCUUGGUAUCUUCUACACACAUGUUGAUUUAUUUGUCAGGAAACAGAGGAACCUGGUAACUCUGUGUGAUCCAUAAUGAUAAUAACAAAAGAUAUAAAUCAGAUGAAUUUCAUUUGACUUGCACAGAAAGGGUUAUAGUUUUGCCAUAAAAGUUUAUUCAAGCUAAGGUAUUCUUGAAGAUUACUAUGCCAUCCAAGGGUUUACUUUAUGGAUCUAUACUAUGAGGCUAGAAAUAAAGGCUAGGCUGUGGCUUCGUUCCA
ensembl:lncRNA